AGUUCGAUAGCGCAACGGUAUCGCGUCUCUCCCACUUUGCCUUUGCAUCGCGUCCUAGUUGUCGAGAGAAAGUUCUCGGUUCGAAUCCGAGUCGAGCUA